UAGGCUGUAGUUUAAUGGAAAAAUACACGUCACCAAAACGUGAGAUGUAAGUUCGAUUCCUGCCGGCUUUA
rfam:Chitinophaga eiseniae strain DSM 22224 genome assembly, contig: Ga0070509_107